rnacentral:rRNA from 1 species
GGCGAACGCUGGCGGCGUGCUUAACACAUGCAAGUCGAACGGAAAGGCCCUGCUUUUGUGGGGUGCUCGAGUGGCGAACGGGUGAGUAACACGUGAGUAACCUGCCCUUGACUUUGGGAUAACUUCAGGAAACUGGGGCUAAUACCGGAUAGGAGCUCCUGCUGCAUGGUGGGGGUUGGAAAGUUUCGGCGGUUGGGGAUGGACUCGCGGCUUAUCAGCUUGUUGGUGGGGUAGUGGCUUACCAAGGCUUUGACGGGUAGCCGGCCUGAGAGGGUGACCGGCCACAUUGGGACUGAGAUACGGCCCAGACUCCUACGGGAGGCAGCAGUGGGGAAUAUUGCACAAUGGGCGGAAGCCUGAUGCAGCAACGCCGCGUGCGGGAUGACGGCCUUCGGGUUGUAAACCGCUUUCGCCUGUGACGAAGCGUGGGUGACGGUAAUGGGUAAAGAAGCACCGGCUAACUACGUG